AUUGCUUCUCAGCUUUUAGGCUAAGAUCAAGUGUAGUAUCUGUUCUUAUCAGCGUAAAAGAUCUUUUCAUUCUUACGUGAAGCCAGCUACACAUUGUCAUCAUGUGUUUCUUAAUGCAUGUUUGAUUUGUUUUUCUACUCUUU
rnacentral:snRNA from 1 species